rnacentral:rRNA from 1 species
GACAGAGGAUGCAAGCGUUAUCCGGAAUGAUUGGGCGUAAAGCGUCUGUAGGUGGCUUUUUAAGUCCGCCGUCAAAUCCCAGGGCUCAACCCUGGACAGGCGGUGGAAACUACCAAGCUGGAGUACGGUAGGGGCAGAGGGAAUUUCCGGUGGAGCGGUGAAAUGCGUAGAGAUCGGGAAGAACGCCAAGGGCGAAGGCACUCUGCUAGGCCUGAUUCGCGACUGACACUCAGGGACGAGAGCCAGGGAGCGAAUGGG